AUUAAUUAGAAAAAAAAAAAGGCGGACGUGGCCAAGUGGAUUAAGGCAGU
rnacentral:tRNA from 1 species